AAUGAGAGAAAGAAGAAAUACAGCAAUACAACUGAUACAAAAAGUACACAAUAUAACACAAUAGUCUAAUAAAUUAGCAAAAAACUUGAGAAACAGGGAAAAAGUUUCAGAUGGUUGAAGAAAGAGGCUUUCUCAAAAAGAUACAAUCUUAAGUCUUUAUAGAUAUAUAUACAUUCUUGGUAGUAUAGGAAACAUACAGUUCUAACAUAGAAAAUAUUGACUGAAGUGGUAGUAUCAAUUCCUGAAGACUAUUUGCAUAUGGUACAUUAUGAAGUAUACACACAGGCAAUUUAGCAUUCAAGAAGUCUCCAAGCAAAGGAAAACAUUAUGGAUUCCUUUUUGGUAGACAGACAUCUCCUUCUAACAGCAGCAAUUGGAUCUGUUCAGUAUUCCAUUUGAAAACAAACACACAAACCUGAAAACAGCAAACAGUAAGCAAGACCUUUUGCACAAUGAAUUAUGCACCAAUUUGGCAGCAAGAUUCAAAAGAUAAGAAAAAAUACUCUUGCCUCACCCAUUGCCUUUCAUGACCAAAUUACUUCCCUUCUUCCCAGUAACCUUUUAAGCCUGCCUUCCUGGGGAUCUGAAUUAGGUGAGAGUGCAUCAUACCUAAAUGAGAAGAGUGGUCAAUAGCUGCUAACCCUAAAACCAAAUCAGGGAAUGUUUACAGGAAGAGGUGUGCAUCAGCCACAACUCCUAACAGCAGCAGAACACAACCUUUGGUAAGUUCUGAUGCAAAAAUCUAAGCAUUACCAGGGAACAAAAAAGUUCCUUCUAAAAGGAGUGACUGUCCUUUUGCUGCUUUUUUGGCACUUCGGAAGCCUACAAAGGAAGUCUGUCUCUUAGGAGUUACACACAAGUAGAACAUAUCUCCUGCAGAGCACCUAAGCCCCAUUCCUGGAUUAAAGAUCUACCUGCUACCAGUGUCCUCAACUGACACAUUAUUUUCUUCCUAAAGCCCCACCUACACAGGCAUUUAGGUGAUGCUAAAAGGAAUUUUGCCAACAGUUGCCACAGCACAGAGGUCUCUGAAGGAUGAGGGGAAGAUACAAUGGGAAGCAUAUGACACGCAGAAAAACAUUUUUUCUUCAGUCAUCACUUAUUCAGAAGAGAGUAACAAGUGCUCAUUACUAAAGUGCUUGUACCAAGGAGUCAGCAAAAAAUACUGCAGAAACUAUUGCCAGGAUUGCUUAAAAUUAAUUCCAUCUUCAGGAUGAAAGUGGAAUUAUAAAUAAAAUUCUAUAUAAAAAAAUCAAGCAAAGUGCUCAUACAGCAUUUUUGCAUCCCUGUAUAAGCAUUCUCUAUUCCAUUUAAUCAUUACUAAUUGGAGGAUGGCUAAGUCACAUCCACUCCACCUAGGCAACUGUCAGGGAUACAGGAUAAAGAGGAAAAAAUGAUACAGGUAUUAGGCAGAGUUUUAUUAUAGAUGCUGAAGAAAUAAUAGCAACCAAAAAGAUUUUAAAAGUGGCUAGCAUUACAGUUGAGAUAACUAUUUCUGAAACUGGGGAAACCCAGGCACAAAUUUUAAAACGGCUUAAAAAUAAUCCUGGUGAUGUAUGUAAAGAAGACUUUAGGUCUGAUUCGUAUCCAUGGGAAAAAAGAAUGGAGGUAAAUGAAAGUACAAAAAAGAGAAACAAAAUUUAAUUUAGAAAAAUAUCAUAGAGAGGCAACCCUAUCAGAACAAAAGGUCGGCAUCCAGGAAUGUCUUCCUGCUACUGCCUACAUCCAACCCAGAACUUGAGCUCUUGGAGCCCUAGCACAGCCAGCCCCCAGGCUUCAUACCUGCUUUAAAGACCUGUUGAUCUACACCUCCUUGAGGCUGAUCAAAUGAACCCUGUUUAAAGCAGCAUCAGCAACUGGCAGGGCGGGUGCAGAGGAGACUCCACUGAGCUGAAGCACACAGGUUUUCAGUGCAGUGGAAGGAAGGAAACUGCCUUCACACAGAACUUAAAAGAAAAGAUGCAGAGAUUGAUUACACACAGCUUCAGCACAUAGCACAGAAAGCAGCAAGUCUUUCUGUGGAAAUGAAAUGUAGAUAAAAUAGAGGGUUUUUUAAAAAAAGCUGCUGAAGACUACUAGUCUGGUGAGCAUUUCCUGUCUCCACAUUGACAAGAAAUUGUGGAUCAUUCUCAGUGUCUGCAAACUUCAGAAUGUAUCAUGUGAUUUCCCUCUGUAGCCCUGCCAGAAGUCUCUUGCUGCAGUUUGUUCUUCUGAACAUUUCCUCUUACAUUUUAACUCUCAUUUAUUAGCCAAUUAAGCAGCAGCUUAUCAAGAUUCUUUUCUUUCCCUUCCCUGUGGUUCCUUGGCAAUCCAUGCUGCCUUUAGGCCCUGUUUUGGGAAAUGCUAAGACUUAGCAGGCAGGAGAUGUUGAGGAACAUGUAUUUGUUUACAUGUUUAAGACAGGGCAAAUGGCCAUACAGGCACUCAGAGCAGCUCAGGUGCAAAGCCCUGAUAAGUGAAAACAAAGUGAAGCAGCUUUUCUAAUAAAACAUGCAAAAUCAAGUUUGAAAUACUUCCACAGUUUGCUUGGUACAAUACAAUUAUUUUGCCUUUGGAUAGCAAGAAUUAAGUUUUUGUUUACCUUUCAAUGAGAUAUCUGGAAAUACACAUUUACAUCAUGAAGGGGUGUGCGUGUGUAUGUAUGUGUGUGUUUGUAUAUAUGUAUAUAUGUAUGCAUGUAUAUACAUACAUAUAUAUAUAUAUAUAUAUUUAUAAAGCUUAUUCAAACGUCUUAAAUUAAGAAAUAAUUUGUUUGUGCUCCUCAAUUAAAAUUCAAAAUGGUUAAAUUCAGGGAGAUUUUGUAAUACUUGUAUUCCAAAAACACAUGCUAUUUACCAGUGGGAAAGUUUUAAGCACAACUGCUAGAUCCCAGCGCUUCCUGAGCUCAAUAUCAGGCAGCUGUGGAGCCAAAGCACAUUGACAUAGCAGCUGGAGAGAACUUGUUCAGGCCCUACUGCUGAAAGCAGUAAAUUUGUUUAGGGGAAAGCGGACUCAGCAAUGACUGUGCCACCCUCCUGCGGGAAAGAACAAGUAAGGCUCAUGUACCGACGAACAUUUUUGUUUGAGGGUCAGUCUUGCUGAGGAGGCAUUAGCAUCUUACAAUCAUUAAGGAAGGUAGGAAAUUCCUGGGAGUGAAAGUUAUGAAGUCCAGGAAGAAAUAGGAGGCCAGGCUGAAAUGUAGGUCGGAGGUUCCUGGAAGGAAUGUCAGGACAGACAUUGCACCAGCCCUAAGAACCCUUCUGUUUAUGAGUUUGUGACUGAGAAUGCAUAGCAGCACCUUGGUGUGGAUUCCGUCUAGCCUAUCAUUUAAUAAGGUUUAGACAAAGGCCUCAGAACUGAAAGAAAAAAGUGACCAAAUUCCUCAGCAGUUGGCAAGGGAAUACUGGAGAAAAGCUCUAGCAGCUAAGAGGGAAGAGAGAGACAAUCAGAGAAAAGGACAGACUUAGUCAAAACUGAAGCUCUGAAAGACAUCUGCAGAGUCAUCACACCUAGCUCAGAACUCCUGUGGUCACCCACCCCAGGAGAACCCUUUGCAGAAGUGGUCAAACUAGAAGAGCUUGUCCAGCUCAGGCCCCAUCUUUUGCAGUUUGGCCACUAAUGUUUAAGUUUCUGUUGGGGAUAACUUACCUGGUGCAUUACAGAUAGUCCCGUAGGUGAGAAACUAACUAUAAAAGCCUCCCCAAUUGGUUUGUGUGGCCUAUGAAAAGGAAAGGUGGGAAGGAAAAAGUUCAUGAGUGGGAAUGCAUGUGGCAUGAAUGCUGCAAUAGAGGCAGACAGACAAUAAACCCAAAAUGCUUGUGAAGCAUCCUGUUCCUCAUCAGGUUUCACUCAGCACUAUUCUGUGAUCACUGCAAGCUUUGCAGACCUCAAGCACACAGGUGCCUGCAGACCACCCGUGAACAUCCACACUGGGACAUAAAAAAUUUAGACUGCGAUGUCAUACUGAGCAGUGCAGGAACAGCCAACACGAACUUGUUUAAAUUUCACCAGCUGUGCCUUUGGAUGAAAGAUCUACUGAACAGUUUGUACAUUUCUGGCUUUUAUCCAGAAUUUUAUACAGUUAAAGCCUAUUAUUAUUAUUGAAACACAGAGAUCAAACUUUAUAAAUAGCCUGCAUUUAUGGUGCUUCUAUUGAGAUCAAAUGCAUGAUCCUCUGUCAGAAAUGGCUACUGAAGAUACUAAGCACUGACGCUUCUCUUUUUGUUUGUUUAGGAAUGGACCUUUCUUUAAUAGCACAAAGUAACGGAAAGGAUUGGUUACUCUCUUUUGGAAAUAUGAGAUUAUUUUCAGUUCUCAUCCAUGCAGCUGGAGAAGGUCAGGAAGAAAUCUUUAAAUAUUAACAUUUGAGCACAAAUCUAGCCAACUAAUUACACUUAUUUUGGGACCUUGUAAUAGAAUUGCAGUUAUUUUUAAAACGCAACAUUAAAAUGUUUUUCAGUAAGGCCAGAAUUACUUAUAAGAGUCAACGUACACCAAGAGUGUGGUAUAAAUUUGAGCUGCUGUACAUUAUUAUUUCUACUUUGACUGUAUGCUCCCCAUUAUGGUGCCUGCCUUCUGUUUCAGUUCUCAAGUGAGAAAGUCAGUACACAACUCUAGAUCUAGUUAUUUCCAGUUAUUUCUGUUACAAAUACAUGUAAAAAUAAUUUACGUGUUAUUUUAAAAUCUGAACCUCUUAAGAGUGGUGGUAAAGGGAGAGGACCAUGGGUGUCAGAGGGUCCAGAAGGGUGAAACGAUUAAGUAGAAAAAAACCUGCACAAUAAUUUCAGUUUUACUGGCAGUAUCACAAACAGUUUCUAAAAACUUUGGGGAAUAAGACACAAAUGGUCUUGGGCAGCCUAAGCCUCAAGAACAAAAGGAAUCAAAAUGAGUGAGGAAAAUAAUGAGUGGCAUCACCCUCAUUAGGAUUGAGGAAGCCAGCUGCAAGUUAAAGCACUGACUCACUUCCAGUCCUAUCCAUAUCCUAGAUCACUGAGCGCUUACAAAAGCCAGCAUAGAGGAGGAACUGGGAUUUCAUGGCCAUGAAGUGAUUUAAGCUGUUGUAGAACUGCAUCCUCUAAAGCAAACUGUCCAUGAGGCCUUUAAGAUUUAAAGCUGAGAAAGUACAAGGGUCAAAAUAUGCUGAUUACAUGAAAGUAUUCAAGUUUUGGUCCCAUUCAACCCUUUUACAAUAAGCCCUUUGUAAUAGAGAAACCUUUUCCUUGUCUACUAAAUUGUAGUCACUUUUUCACAAUCCUGUGUUCAAUACAGAAAGUGUAACAUGGGCUAACAGUGCACUCACCCUUCUGACCCAAGAUCUGCUCUCAUAAGCUGCCAAUAACC
rnacentral:lncRNA from 1 species